UAUGAGAUGCCAGAAGAAUGGAAUACUUUGAUAAAGUAUAUAUGAGUGUAAUACUUUCUCAUAU
rnacentral:tRNA from 1 species